ACCCAUGUUAUGGUGGGUGUUGAUCAUGAGGGUGCCAACAAUGAAAAUGCACUGUUCUUGCCAAGUAAACAUCAAAUGUUAUAUAGUGCUGGGAGCAGGAUGCUGUUUAAUAACCUAAACACAAUGAGUGGUGUUUUCCAUGAUACUCUGGGUUGUCAUAGUCAAGCUGGGUAGGGUUUGAAUAGUUUAAAAAAAUAGCAGAAUGAAUUAUACCUGGAAAUGAAUUGGCUCCCAGCAUAAAUUUUUCUCUACAGAUAUUAUACCUCUUACAGGCAGCUACCACCAAAAGGCACAUGCUGCCAUGUUCAGGAGCAUUGAGCAUUUUCAGAGAAUCUUCAGCAACAGUCUUCCAGCUGGGCAAAAUGAAAGCAGUGCUCUGGGCUCAAUGAAGAGUGGCAAUGACUAGCUGAAUAUCAAAAAUGAAAAUCUACAACCAGAAAAACCAGCAUUUGUCCUGCGAAACAAAGGUGUAUAUGAGAGUGUGAAGUACAUCCAGCAGGAGAACUUCUGGAUUGGCCCAAGCUCGAUUGACCUGAUCCACCUAGGGGCCAAGUUCUCACCCUGCAUCCGGAAGGACCAACAGAUUGAGAAGCUGAUACAGAAAGAGAAAGACCAAGAGCGAAAGUCAGGCUGCUGUGUCCAAAAUGAUAACUCUGGGUGUGUCCAGACACUGCGAGAAGAUUGCUCAGUAAGUGCAGUAGUGAUGACUUACCUCCUUUGAAUUUUGUUGCAGUGCAGGAAAACAUAAGUUUGGAAGGUAUGUGUUUUAAUUUUGCCACUUGUGCUAUGAGGCAUGAGGAGGACUUGCCCUACCAAUACACAGAGGAAGAUGGCUACAGAUUUUGGGUGCCAAGAAAGGACAGCAAAUUUUUAAUUAUUUAACUGGUUAUUAUUAUUGCAUAGGAGGUGUUUGGAGGGAUAUGGUGAGCAUUGGA